GACGAACGCUGGCGGCGUGCUUAACACAUGCAAGUCGAACGGAAAGGCCCUGCUUUUGUGGGGUGCUCGAGUGGCGAACGGGUGAGUAACACGUGAGUAACCUGCCCUUGACUUUGGGAUAACUUCAGGAAACUGGGGCUAAUACCGGAUAGGAGCUCCUGCUGCAUGGUGGGGGUUGGAAAGUUUCGGCGGUUGGGGAUGGACUCGCGGCUUAUCCGCCUGUUGGUGGGGUAGUGGCUUACCACGGCUUUGACGGGUCGCCGGCCUGAGAGGGUGACCGGCGACAUUGGGACUGGGAUACGGCCCAGACUCCUACGGGAGGCAGCAGUGGGGAAUAUUGCACAAUGGGCGGAAGCCUGAUGCAGCAACGCCGCGUGCGGGAUGACGGCCUUCGGGUUGUAAACCGCUUUCGCCUGUGACGAAGCGUGAGUGACGGUAAUGGGUAAAGAAGCACCGGCUAACUACGUG
rnacentral:rRNA from 1 species